rnacentral:rRNA from 1 species
GUGAGGAAUAUUGGUCAAUGGGAGAGAUCCUGAACCAGCCAAGCCGCGUGAGGGAAGACGGCCCUAUGGGUUGUAAACCUCUUUUGUCGGAGAACAAAACCCGGGACGUGUCCCGGACUGCGUGUAUCCGAAGAAAAAGCAUCGGCUAACUCCGUGCCAGCAGCCGCGGUAAUACGGAGGAUGCGAGCGUUAUCCGGAUUUAUUGGGUUUAAAGGGUGCGUAGGCGGUCCGUUAAGUCAGCGGUAAAAUUGCGGGGCUCAACCCCGUCGAGCCGUUGAAACUGGCAGACUUGAGUUGGCGAGAAGUACGCGGAAUGCGCGGUGUAGCGGUGAAAUGCAUAGAUAUCGCGCAGAACUCCGAUUGCGAAGGCAGCGUACCGGCGCCAGACUGACGCUGAGGCACGAAAGCGUGGGGAUCGAACAGGA